rnacentral:rRNA from 1 species
ACACUCCUGCGGGAGGCAGCAGUGGGGAAUUUUGGACAAUGGGCGAAAGCCUGAUCCAGCAAUGCCGCGUGAGUGAAGAAGGCCUUCGGGUUGUAAAGCUCUUUUGUCAGGGAAGAAACGGUGAGAGCUAAUAUCUCUUGCUAAUGACGGUACCUGAAGAAUAAGCACCGGCUAACUACGUGCCAGCAGCCGCGGUAAUACGUAGGGUGCAAGCGUUAAUCGGAAUUACUGGGCGUAAAGCGUGCGCAGGCGGUUUUGUAAGUCUGAUGUGAAAUCCCCGGGCUCAACCUGGGAAUUGCAUUGGAGACGGCAAGGCUAGAAUCUGGCAGAGGGGGGUAGAAUUCCACGUGUAGCAGUGAAAUGCGUAGAUAUGUGGAGGAACACCGAUGGCGAAGGCAGCCCCCUGGGUCAAGAUUGACGCUCAUGCACGAAAGCGUGGGGAGCAAACAGGAUUAGAUACCCGGGUAGUCCCAU